rnacentral:lncRNA from 1 species
AAACAGUGGGAUGGCAGCAUUUUCUCAGCCACCUGAUAAUCGAUGAGUCAUAUUCCCAAACCCCAAAACCAUAUGCUCAAAAAGGGGAAAGAAAAAAAAGGUGAAGAAGGCGUCCAGGUUCAAUGUAUGCGAUCCUUGGCAUUGCAAGGACAAUCUUUCAGACCCACCAGCUGACCACUUUCAAAGCAUGUCCAAAUAGCAGGCUAGGUUCCAGCUUUAGGAGGAGGGGAGAGAUAUUUGCAGUAUAAGUAGCUUUGGAGAAGGAACAUUCCUAAAGCCAAGAUGCAUCAAGAACUGUUCUUCUUCAAGCUGUAGCCUGUAGGAGCGGUUGCGUCAGAUGGAGUUCCCCCAUUCUUCACUUCUGGUUCUUGUUUGCUUCUUCAGGUAGAGCUGGUUUGGUUUUGGUGAUUUUCGUGUUCAUGAUUCAUGGAGAGAUGGAUUUGUUUCUCAGUAUCCUUAUGUAUGUUGUAGCUGGAUCAUUUCAAAGCAAAUAAAUCGACGAUGAGUAAAGAGAUUAUCUGUGUUUCUCGAUCUUUCUAGUUACUUGUCUAUUUGUGUGUUCGGAUGUGAUGACCUCAAGAAAUGCAAAUGAGUCAGUUUCAUGCUGCCGUUUAGAGAUCGAAAGGUCACAGAUCCAACAGGCAAGCAACCCAUCAGUGUCAAGAUGUUUAGGCCGUGUACCUACACCUCUGUACUACUGGGCAUCUCGAUUCUGCAACGCAAAAUCUCACGAGGUUUCUGAUGAACUUUAAUAGCCGAUAUCAUGCCGUGGUAACCAGGUUUACAAACUGUACCGUUAUCGUGGUUAUCACGUGUAAUAACCUUCUCAAUUUUUAAAAUCACGAUAUGUCUUACGGUAACCGUACGAUGACAAUAACCACAUCAGUUUGGUAAACCCUAGUAGUAACGUACACGAGUCUUUGCAGCCAGGCAGCCAGCUCGAGUUAUGAACCAUGAUGCGUAAAUCGUGAACCAUCUAGCUGACUGCAUAAGUUGGAAAUGAGUGAUAUGUGGGUCAGGAUGGUUCACCAUUUGGAAAUAAGUUAUCAUCCAAAUGGGCAUAUAUAGUACAGUGCCAAGAUGAAACAUCGAACUUAUAGCAAAGGAAAAAUUGAAACCAUGCCAUUAUAAUUUUGCAAAAUUUGAGAUAUGCCAUCCUGACCCACGUAUCACUCAUGUGGGUCCUAUAUGUCAUUGAGAUACCGAUGACAUAUCUCAAACUUUACAAAAUUAUAAUGGCAUGGUUCAAAAGGUUUCAUUCGACCUCUGAUUCACCCCAUCCUAGAUAUGCCAUCGGUUGGUCACAGGACAUCAAAGGCAGGUGAUGGGAAUUGAGUUAAUUUUCACCCAAAUAUAUAGCAAAAGAAAGGUUUCAGCUGACUUCAGAUUCACCCCUCCUAGCUAUGCCAUCGUCCAACCGGACGAGAAGUCAUGUGGCUACAUCACUACAUGCCCAUAGCAGAAUCUCCAAGGGACAACGAGGAUAUAUAUACAUGGUGAGUUCGAGAGUAGAUGUGGAGUUCUAGCAGACUUCUAUAUCAAAUCUAAGGCAGAUCCCAAUGUUGAAUAGCUCCUGAUAUAGCAGCUUUGCGCCGUAUGGGCGUAUGGCACAUAACACAUUGAUCCUUACUAUAUCUUUUUUCUGAAGAGCGGCAGAACCCACGUGAUUAAUACAAUUAUGAUGUAAUUAUAGUGUACUUUCAAAAAUCUCUAGGUGACAUGCUAAUUAUGUGAAAACGAAGGUAAUGAUAUCGAAUCCCUUACAUGUGCGUGAGUUAUCAGUUUAUGUGCAUCGAGGGGAAGCAACGAUAAAGUGCAACCCCCGAAUGAGUGAAGAUUCUAUCAUGUACCAUCACCUAUACCCUCAAUAUCAAAAAUGUACUAGACAAUCUAUUACUACCUUCGUCCCAAAAUAUAGCAAUCUAUUACAAGAUGAGAUAUAUAUUAGACCAACGAUCUGGACAGGCCGAGAUCUUUGGAUUAAGAUAUGUCCUAUCUAUUCCCAAAUUACUAUAUUUUAGAACGGUGGGAGUACUAUAUAUAUAUGGCUCUCAUUUUAUUUCUUUUUCUCGUUGCUUUGUUUGGCUGUAUACCUCUGUACAUAUAUCUACUCCAUUUUUUUUUCUUUUCGAAGGAUAUAAGCAAGAUAAGCAAGAAGUGUCGCACGUCCAGUGAUCGUCGCCGGCGAAUCGCCAUGCUAUUGGGCCUGUCGAGACAACUCCAGCACGGCCCAAUCGCUGCCCAAAUUGGGCCAUCUAUUCUGUCGCUCGCACGGAUACCGCUUUUGUUUUUCUCUGGAUUCUGAACUCAUAUACUUUGGCGCCGGUCACGUAUACACAACAACUAUAUAUAAUCAAAGAGAUGCACACAGAUACGUAUGUGUUUGGAAACACCCUGAUUUGUUGCGAACUUCAGCUUGGAGCAUCUUGAUCGACAAGACAAACUCUGUAUUUACAUGUUGUUGUUUUUUGUUGUUGUUCAAGCUUCGUUGUUCUCCUUCGAUCUUCGCCAUGGGCAACAGCUUGUUCUCCAUGGCGAGCAGCACCGCUUCUCCUUCAGAUGGUCGAUCCCCACGGCUGCCGGAAACACUGUCGAGGUGCGUGACGGCGAGCGUCGCCGCUGCGCACAAUUUCGAGGUGACACGGUACUCGCUGCUCGCCGGGGUGGGCGCCGGCGAGUUCGUCACCUCGGGCACCUUCUCCAUCGACGGCCACAACUGGAACAUCCAGGUCUACCCCGACAGGUGGAAGCAGGAGAUGAACGCCGGCUACGUGUCGGUCUUCCUGUGCCUCUGCGGCGGAGCAACCGGCGUCAGGGCGAAGUACACGCUGAGCCUUUCGGAGAACGGCGGCGAGUCCGUACAACGGAGCUUGACGCAUCGGUUCGACACGGUGGGCGCCUUCUGGGGAUUCCCCAGGUUCAUGGAGAGGCCCAGGCUGCGGCAAUGGCUGCUUCGCCGCGGCCCCGGCGGCGGCGACGACUGCGUCACGUUCAGGUGCUCCCUGACCGUCAUCAGGGAGCCUCGCACCGAGGGCGUGGCCGCCGUCGCCGUGCCGCCGUCGGACAUGCGCCGGCACAUGGCGAACAUGCUGAGGGGCGGCGACGGCGCGGACGUGGUGGUGCUGGUGCGCGACCAGCCGUUCCGCGCCCACCGCUGCGUGCUCGCCGCGCGGUCGCCGGUGUUCAGGGCGGAGCUCUUCGGCGGCGGCCACAUGAGGGAGAGGCGGACGAGCUGCGUCGUCGUCGACGACAUGGAGCCCUCCAUCUUCUCGGCAUUCCUCCACUUCAUCUACACGGAUUCCUUGCCAGAAAACCCGGACACACCUGGCGAUGAUCAAGAUUGCAUGGCGAUGCAGCAUUUGAUGGUGGCAGCCGAUCGGUAUGGCCUGGACAGGCUCGUGCUGAUCUGCGAGGAGAAGCUGUGCCGCGGCAUUGACGUGCAGACGGUGGCGACGACGCUGGCUUUGGCAGAGCAGCAUCAGCGUGUAGCGCUCAAGGAUGCUUGCCUUGGUUUCAUAGUCUCUCGGGGUGUUCUUGGCGCUGUCGCUAGGACUGAUGGGUUUAAGCAUCUGCUCACGACCUGCCCGUCGAUUAUGGUGGACAUUUUAGACAAGGUUGCCAGCGUCAUGAGCAAGUAAUAAUAGAUUCAUAGUCUAGUCUUUCUGAUCUUAUGAGUAACUUUUAUUAGUGACUAGCAAAGUAGUACUGUAGUAGUAAUAAAGUUCGAGACUGAGUUUGCGACGCGACAUGAUUUGCAGUAUCACAGUAGUUCUAUUUUUUGUUGGUUUCAUGCUUGCCUGGAAACAUAUCGAAAAAGAACUGAAGAUUAGAGUCACAUUGUUGUUUCGGUACUCAAAUUGCAUUCCUCUGAACUCUGAAGCAGUCACUCUGUUCUUCUCUGGUCUCCCCUGUGUGUUGCUGUUCUAUUUCCAGGUGUGAUUAUUGUUCUGUUUGGCGCCAUUAUUAUCUAAGUUUUUGUUUCUGUUACACAUUUUGGUCGAGUUUAACUCGAGAUGAGCAAAUUCUUUAACUUUGUUCCCGGUUGUAACUUGUGAGCCUGUGGCGGAGCAGGUUCAGAUUCGUCAGAAACCAAAAAAAAAAAAAGUUCAGAUUCGUUAGUGGCACAGGCUCUCUCAGCCCUGACCAAAAAUGGGCUAAUCUAGUUGGUCAGGCCUGUGGCGGGCAUGUUCAGAUUCUGCAGUUUUGGGCCGGAAUCACCAAUUUCUCUCUCAGCCCUGACCAAAAAUGGGCUAAUCUAGUUGGGCCGCCUAGUCAGACGCAUGAACGGCCACGUGGCACGUGCUUCGUCCGUGCGCACCCGUGGAUCACAGGCCUCGUGGCGGGGGUUUCGGUCGUGCGCACUGUGGAGUACAGGUCGGCAGGGAGCCAGGGUCAAUCGAAUCGAGUCGAGGAGAGGAGAGAGAGAGAGAGAGAGAGAGAGAGAGAGAGAGAGAGAGAGACUCAGGGAGGGUUUCGUUUCCGUUUCUUGCGCCUCCUCCAACCGCGGCGGCCGUCAGUGGGGAGCCUCGUCGGCGUCCGCCUCCGCCAUUCGCGAGAGGAAUUCAGGUGAUCCCUCUCCCUACCAGAGCCGCGCUCCCCUCCGAUCCUCCCCGAAUCUGGAUGAUCUCCCCCGAUUCCGCUCGGCUUCGCUGAUCCCCCCUCCGCCGCCGCCGCCGCCGCCGCGGCGGGUGGGCUAUCCCGCUUGUCGGAAUCGAUCGAUUUCUGAGGCCUUGGAUUGUGAUGAAGUCAUGGAUAUCGGGCCGCAUAGCAUCCAGCUGAUCGCGCCGCCGUCCCUCUAUCACGCCGCCUCCGCUGCCGCCAUGGGUGAUCACCGCGACCCGGCUUUCCCCGCGGCGGCGGGCGGCUGCCGGCUGCCCAAGACGUCGUCGGUGAGCGUCACGGAGUCCGUCACCGCGGUGCACGAUUUCAAGGUGACGGGUUACUCGCUGAUCGAGGGGCUGGGCAUCGGCAGGUACGUCAGCUCAUCCACCUUCACCGUCGGCGGCGUCGACUGGGCCGUCAGGUUCUACCCCGACGGCUCCACCGUCACCUGCCUCGGGAACGCGUCGGCGUUCCUCUACUACUGCGGCAGGGAGAAGGAGGUCAGGACCAGGUUCACCCUGAAUCUGCUCGGCAAGGACGGCAAAUUGUCGCAGGUGACCAAUUCCUACAUGAAGCACACCUUCUCCCCGGCGAGUGACAAUUGGGGAUUCAUCAAAUUCGCCGAGAAAUCGAAGCUGCAGAGCUCGCCGUUCCUCCACAACGACUGCCUGACCAUCAGGUGCUUGCUGACCGUCGUCAGGGAAUCCCACACCAAGGAUGUUGAGGUCAAUUCUGUUGUUGUCCCACCGUCCAACCUGCAUACCGAUUUUGAGAACAUGCUCCAGGAUGGUGAAGGUUCAGAUGUGACAUUCACCGUGGGUGGCCAAGAGUUCCGUGCUCAUAAAUGUGUUCUUGCCUUCCGGUCCCCGGUGUUCAAGGCCGAGCUUUUCGGUCCGAUGAAAGAAAAUGGCACGCAAUGUAUCAAGAUCGACGACAUGGAGCCUGAGGUUUUUGAGGCUCUUCUUCACUUCAUUUACACAGAUAGGCUGCCAGAUAGCUGCAGAGAUGGCAAGGCUGCAGCAAUGCAGCACUUGCUAGUUGCCGCGGAUCGGUACGGAGUGGACAGGCUGAGGCUGAUUUGUGAGAGGCGGCUCAGCGAAACCAUUGAUGUGGAAACAGUGGCAACCACUCUUGUUUUAGCAGAACAACAUCACUGCUCGCAGCUGAGACAGGCUUGCAUUGGGUUUGUGGCAUCUCCAAACAUGCUUGGGCCAGUCAUAGAAAGCGAUGGAUUUAAGCAUCUGGUAGAAAGCUGCCCGUUGAUUAUGAAGGAGAUCUUGAGUAAGGUUUCACAUAUUUGGAUUGACAAGUCUUGCUGAGAAGUUUAUUAAGCUAUCACUUUUGUAGUAGUACAUCUUAGUAGUUAUGAAAGUCAUGAUCAGUUAUCUACAUCUCUAUAUGCGACUUUGAUCUUUUUAAGUUGUGUGAUCCUUCCAACGCCUAAUAUGUAUGAACAGUAGAAAUCUUAUGUAUAUGGAUGACUCCUUAGCACCAUGGUGUAAGUUUGGGCAUUCUUCCCCUUUUCAUCUUUUUUGAAAUGUUGGAUUUACUCUAUACUCACAUGCUUUCCUGAAUGUAUAAUGACUAGUUUUUUGAGUGGAAUAUAUACGGACUAAUAAUCAUUAAUUCAACUCUGUCUUGGUGAUAUAAAUCAUCAUUUCAACUCUGAACAUCUCACAUUCUUUGGUCCAACCCAUACCUCAGAGCAUGCCCAACAAUCACCCAAUAUUUGAUUCCCAAAAAAUCUGAAUUAGGAAUACCAAAAUAAAAAUUGGGCCCAACAAUGAACCCCUCCUCCAAGAGAUGCCCAAAAAUCAAUUCCCUAUCAUUUGUUAGUUUGCCACGUAAGCAAGGUGGGGCCCAGUUCGGUACUUGUGCACGUCUUCUCCCUCCCGCACCAGCGCCGAUCGACUUCUUCCUCCCCGGACCUGCGCCGCCGUGACCUAGCGCCGUCAUCACCAGCCAGUCAACCAGUGUCCUGACUGCUGCGAUUUGUUAAAAAACGGAACACCAAGGAGAUGCCGUAGCAAUUCGUGUCAUCAAGGAGGUAAUCGUUAGCAAAUCCCAUUGAUCUCUUGUGUCGUAGUCAAUCUCUAUGUCUAUAUUUUGAUAUGUGGAUAUAUAUUAUUGGAAAAUAUUAAGUUUGAUCUGAUAAUUAAUUUUGCAGAUUGAUUAUUGUUCUAUUCCUGCCAUCAGUUCCCUCCAUUGCACUUCAUCCCUGUGGUAAACGCUCCAACCCCGUGGCAAACAAAAAGAGGAGAUGAGUCGUCGAAGCACCCUCCUUCAAAUGCUAUUGGAUGAGUUUUCAUCGGAUGGUGACGAAGAAUUUAUUUCUUCGGCGGUUGAUAUAGUGCACGAAGAGUUCGACGAUGAUGAAGUUCCAAAGCAUGGUGAAUCUGUUAUAGGUCAUGCAGUAAUUAAUCAGUGACAGUGAACCUUGUUAGUAUGUAUGUCAGUGGCACAUACAUACUGAAAUUGAAUCUUUCAGACACUAUUUUCAAUCUUUGGCAUAAGCAUGUGGUUGUUCAUCUGCUAAUCUAAAAAGUGAGGCAUACUAAAUGCAGAUGAUCACUUCAAUUAAGCAGUUGUUGUACUUAGAGCUAAGAACUGUACAAGUUAUUAUAAUCCUACUGAACCUAUGCUGUUGUACUUAGAAUUCUGCAGCUGCAGCUUUCAUGAAACUAAAAGUCUAAUUGGCAAAAGCAGGUGGUUCUUUUAUCUUGAAAAAUAGACUAUGGAUUGCAUCUUGUUGCAUUAUCUGUCAAAUUAUCUAACAACAUUAUCUUAAUGCAAAAAUUCAGAGCAUAUUUCAAAGAUGCUGUGAUGAGAGAAAAAUAUUUCAGACUUUCAGAGCAUAUUUCAGACUUUGGGAGUACAUUUGACAUAGCAAAAAUAUUUGACACAGCAUAUUUCAGACUUUCAGAGCAUACCACACAUUUAGAGCAUAUCCUUCAUUACUAAAUGUUCUGAAACCUGAUUUCCUCUAAGUGUUCAGACUUUCAAAUUUAGAGCAUAUCCUACAUAUUUCAGACUUUCAUUCAAUACAGUACAAAUUUCAGACUUUCUGAUAUUUUCCUCUAAGUGUUCUGAAUCCUGAAUUCCUGAAUUUCUAGCAGGGGAAGUCAGUCACAGAAUAGACAUCAGAUCAGGCUACAACACUCUGAAAAUUAAUCUAAACAUCGAACGAAUCAGGGACAGCCUUACCGAAAUUGCUCCUAUGGAGGAAUUCUUCAUCACUCACAGAAUAAGCUGUGGAGAAAUCGACGCCAGGAGCUUCGUGUGAGAGGGGAUUCAGUGUCUCCCAUGGAGCAUGUCCCUCCAUGGACUCUGUCGCCUGCACACCGGAGUAGGGAGGUUGAGGAUGAGGCAGACCGAGACGACGGCGAGGCGGCGGUGUGGGGCGCAGAGGGCCGUCAGCCCCAAAUCGAGGAGGCAGUGGUCGACGUGCGGGCGCCCCCUGGAACAGCGCCGCCGCCGACGCCUGCGAGGAAGAGGACGGCGGCUGCAUCGCCGCUUGGAGCAACGCCGGCGCCUGCGCCUGAGAGGAAGGGCAUGGCCGCUGCAUCGCUGCCUGGAGCAACACCGACGCCGACCCCUGUGACCAAGAGGAAGGGGACGACCGCUGCAUCUCCGCGUGGAACUCAGUCAACGACGCCUGCGAGGAAGGGGUUGGCCGUUGCUUCGCCGCCUGGAAAGCCGCUGCCGACGCCUGGGAGGAAGAGGAAUUUUGUUGCUGGCGACUGGCGAGGAGGGCGAGAAAAGGAGCGCGGGAACAAUUUUCCCCCUACGCGCGCGAGGCAGCGACGACCGCGAUUGGGAAGAAAAAAUGGUUCCCUGCAAAUGAGUAACGACAUAUACGGAUAUGGGAACAUGGAUUAUUGGGAUGUUGGUUAGGGAAUUUGUUGGAUGAGAAUUUUGGUUAAAAUUUCUUUAAUUUAAGGAUAGGGAAUAGAAUAAGUAAUCUGUUGGGCAUGCUCUCAGCCCUGAAACUUAACCUGAACAGAUAUUUGCAGUCAGGGCCGUUCUAGACUGCUCCUAGUUGGCUUAGCUACUUCCUUGUACUUCGUGAGCACACGCUAUCAAAAUGUUCUUUUUUUCAAAUGUUUUCUAUAUAUAACUUUCUUAAAUAAAUAAAUAAAUAAAUCUAUUUUUAAAAUUUGUAAUAGCUACUCCCUCCGUCCCUAAAUAUUUGACGCAGAUGACUUUUUUAAACAUGUUUGACCGUCCAUCUUAUUCAAAAAAAUUUAAGUAAUUAUUAAUUCUUUUCCUAUCAUUUGAUUCAUCAUUAAAUAUAAUGAUGAGAUGUGAGGGAGGAAGGAACUCCCUCUUUUUUAAUACCUGGGUAGGGUGGCUUUACUUUGCCUACGUAAAUCCCAACCAUCUGUCUUCAUUUAAGAUCUAAUCUCCAAUUAAAUUUCCUAUCAAUUCCCACCACCUCUACCAAUCAACGUAAAUCUCAACCAUCUCUUUUUAUUUAAGAUAUAAUCUCCCAUUAAACUUCCUAUCAAUUCCCACCACCUCUACCAAUCAAGAGAUUGAGAGUAAAAAAUCAAAUUCUUAUGUUAAUCUCAUAAUCAAUUCUCUCAUCUAAACCUCCAAUCCUUUCUCUUAAAUUGCCAAACAGAAUUCUCUCAUCUAACCCUCCAAUCUUUUCUCUUAAAUUGCCAAACAGACCGUCAACUCCUCCGAACGGAGACUAAAUAUUGUUUUUUUUCUUCCGAACAAGAUGUACACCUUUUAUGUCCCCUUUUUUCUCGAUGGUGCAUCCAGAUGGCAAUAAAUAGCGUCCCAUGCUGUUCAAAACUUCAGAGGAUGCAACCUGAACCACACCCCAUUUUUUCUCUGAACAUUCAGACUGCCUCUGUUCGUACCCCUGUACUACUGAGCAGGCUAGGCUGUAUGAAAGGCAUCGACAUGGACUCAUGGUCACCACCAUAGCGUUCGCGGAGCAGCAGUGUAGCACCGGAGCUCGUGUCUCUGGGCAGCCUGCGACACAAGAGUGGCGCCAUGAUCAGUUGGAUUAAGCUCAGAUUGUCACCUUGUCACACGUAUCGUCUCGUUCGCAUGAUCAGGACUUCUUUUGACUCCCGAGUUGUGAUUUGGAGGUUGAAACGGAUCAGGACUAUAGUAUCCAAUACCAUAAAUUAUCUCUUCUUGGAUCAACUCGUCGAGAGAGAUUAAACGGCAACGCGUGGUAUCCAAUACCAUAAAAGCAUCUUGCAGUCUAUCGACGAGGCUCUCUCUUCGGCAGGGUACCGGUGGCUGCAUCGUCUGGUAUGCGGUAUUUCAAACUCUCGUUGCUCUUAAUUGAAUUUGUUAUAAAUAUUAGUCGAUAUAGCGGAACGAUAACUAAUCUUCCCGAUCGCUUCAGUCAUUGACCACACAAGACAUGCUAGGUGACGACAUAGGAACACACAAUAUUUGUUAACAAACUUUAGCUAAAGUCUACAUCUCUAGGGUUCUGAUUAUGGGCAAUCCUCCACAACCAAUAUAGCACCUAGCCGCUACGAGUUCAUGGCCUCGCCGCCAUCCUCUCCCUGUGUGUCUACACUACAUUGCAGUCCUCAUAAUUACAUUAUGGUACCCCUCUCUAUUUAAGAGAGUUGCCGGUUACAGAGCCAGAGUCCGACUUUAACUCUACCCCUACCAUCUAUUAUAACUCUAAGUCCAACUAUAACCAUAUACACCUAUUCUAACAUAAUCGAUUUGAUUUAAACAUGCGCUUGUUUCAUCCAAUAAAAGAAGUGUCUUUGUUGCUAGAUUAGAUUUGACAAACAAAAUAGCACAAUUGCAUCCUCUUUUUGUCAAUUCUUGCAGUGGCAGACAUGUUGACUUCAUCGGCUGCCCGUACGUCCUCACGGAGCGUGUGGGAGGGCAUCACCGGGACGCACGACUUCGAGGUGGUCGGCUACUCGUUGAUGGACGGCUUCGGCGCCGGAAGGCACGUCUGCUCCGGCGACUUCAGCGUCGCCGGCCAUGACUGGUAUGUCGCGUUCUACCCCGAUGGCCUCGACCAGGAUUCCGCCGGCUACGCGUCGGCCUGCCUCGCCUACCGCGGCAAGGAGAGGCUCGUGAGAGCCAAGUACAGCCUGAGCUUGGUGGCCAGGGACGGCAGGGCGUCGCCGCUCGCCGGCGACACGCUGCGGUCGCACUACUUCACGCCGACGAGCCGCAGCGCCGACGUCCUCAAGUUCGUCGAGAAAUCCAACCUGUCGUCGUCGCCGUCGUCGUCGUCGUACUCGUGCCUCGACGACGACACCCUGACCAUACGGUGCGUGGUCACCGUGGUCACCGGCCCGCGCGUGGUGAGCGUCGCGCCGGCCAAGGAGAGGGGCCCCCGCGUCACGGUGCCGCCGCCGAGCCUCCACGAGCACCUGGCGCGGAUGCUGCGCGACGGGCGGGGCUCGGACGUGGCGUUCCGCGUGGGCGGCAGGGUGCUCCGCGCGCACCGGUGCGUGCUCGCCGCGCGGUCGCCGGUGUUCGACGCGGAGCUCCUGGGCCCGAUGAUGGAGACCACCGCUCCGUGCAUCGAGAUCCACGGCGUCGAGCCCGCCGCCUUCGAGGCGCUCCUCCGCUUCGUCUACACGGACAGCUGGCCGCUCGCCGGCGUCGACGUCGCGGCGACGGUGCGCCUGCUCUCCGCGGCGGACAGGUACGGGCUGGAGAGGCUGCGGCUGAUGUGCGAGGAGAAGCUGCACGAGGGCAUCGACGUGGACAACGCCGCCGACGUCCUCGCCAUGGCGGAGCUCCACCAUUGCUCGCAGCUCAGAGACGCCUGCGUCGCGUUCAUUGCCUCGCCGAGCACGCUGGGUCCCGUCCUGGCGUCGAGCGGCUUCGAGGAUCUCAUCAUGGCGACCGGCGCUUCGGUGACCAAGGAGAUUUUGCACAAGGUGUCCGAAUCGUGGAGCGGUCCUGGUAACAGAAAUAAUUCAAGCAAAAGAAAGUGAGAAAAAUGGCAAUUAUAUUGAAUACGACUGAACUACUCUAUUCGUUAGUAUUUUUAGUUUCCCCAGCAAAGAUUAUCGAGGGUACACUUUUCAAACUACUUCUUCUUAAAAAAAACCAAUCUAAGUGAUUCAUUAUCCUAGUUAGUGUCAAAGCCUUUUCAAGGACGGAGGAAGUACACGGUAGUUUCGUGCAUAAGUUUUCUAUAACAAGUUUAUUUUUUCAAAAAAAAAUCAAUUAUAAGCUUAUAACAAUUAAUACUUAAUAACUUAUCUCAUUUUGCGUGUUGCAAUAAGCUAAACCCAAACAUCUAUUCGAAAGUAACCUAAACUACUUAGAUUCCUCUUGUAAACACUUGAUUACUUGAAAAUGCAUAGAUUCCUAAGUACAGGGAUCAAUGUCCUUAAAUUGCUUAUACUGCAUAUAAAUUUUAAAAAUAUAAUUACUUAUAUUUGAAAACAAAUAAAAUAUACGACACACUUAUACUUACACUCAAUUUUCUGGUGAAAACAAAACAAAAAAA